CUGGCUUCAGCAGCACAUAUGCUAAAAUUGGAAUGUGGCCCCUGAACAAAGAUGACAUGCAAAUU
rnacentral:snRNA from 1 species